rnacentral:rRNA from 1 species
UACGGGGGGAGCAAGCGUUGUUCGGAUUUACUGGGCGUAAAGGGCGGGUAGGCGGCCACCGCAAGUCAGUUGUGAAAUCUCUGGGCUUAACCCAGAAAGGUCAACUGAUACUGCGGUGCUUGAGGACUGGAGAGGAGACUGGAAUUCAUGGUGUAGCAGUGAAAUGCGUAGAGAUCAUGAGGAAGACCAGUGGCGAAGGCGGGUCUCUGGACAGUUCCUGACACUGAGACACGAAGGCCAGGGGAGCAAACGGG